rnacentral:rRNA from 1 species
UACGUAGGGGGCAAGCGUUGUCCGGAAUCAUUGGGCGUAAAGCGCGUGUAGGCGGUUUCGUAAGUCCGCUGUGAAAGUCGGGGGCUCAACCCUCGGAUGCCGGUGGAUACUGUCGGGCUUGAGUACGGAAGAGGCGAGUGGAAUUCCUGGUGUAGCGGUGAAAUGCGCAGAUAUCAGGAGGAACACCAAUUGCGAAGGCAGCUCGCUGGGACGUGACUGACGCUGAGACGCGAAAGCGUGGGGAGCAAACAGG